rnacentral:rRNA from 1 species
AUUGAACGCUGGCGGCAUGCCUUACACAUGCAAGUCGAACGGCAGCACGGGUGCUUGCACCUGGUGGCGAGUGGCGAACGGGUGAGUAAUACAUCGGAACAUGUCCUGUAGUGGGGGAUAGCCCGGCGAAAGCCGGAUUAAUACCGCAUACGAUCCACGGAUGAAAGCGGGGGACCUUCGGGCCUCGCGCUAUAGGGUUGGCCGAUGGCUGAUUAGCUAGUUGGUGGGGUAAAGGCCUACCAAGGCGACGAUCAGUAGCUGGUCUGAGAGGACGACCAGCCACACUGGGACUGAGACGCGGCCCAGACUCCUACGGGAGGCAGCAGUGGGGAAUUUUGGACAAUGGGCGAAAGCCUGAUCCAGCAAUGCCGCGUGCGUGAAGAAGGCCUUCGGGUUGUAAAGCACUUUUGUCCGGAAAGAAAUCCUUGGCUCUAAUACAGUCGGGGGAUGACGGUACCGGAAGAAUAAGCACCGGCUAACUACGUG